CAGUAGGGAAUCUUCCGCAAUGGACGAAAGUCUGACGGAGCAACGCCGCGUGAACGAUGAAGGUUUUAGGAUCGUAAAGUUCUGUUGUUAGGGAAGAACACGUACCGUUCGAAUAGGGUGGUAUCUUGACGGUACCUAACGAGAAAGCCCCGGCUAACUACGUGCCAGCAGCCGCGGUAAUACGUAGGGGGCAAGCGUUGUCCGGAAUUAUUGGGCGUAAAGCGCGCGCAGGCGGUUCUUUAAGUCUGAUGUGAAAUCUUGCGGCUCAACCGUAAGCGGUCAUUGGAAACUGGAGAACUUGAGUACAGAAGAGGAGAGUGGAAUUCCAUGUGUAGCGGUGAAAUGCGUAGAUAUAUGGAGGAACACCAGUGGCGAAGGCGACUCUCUGGUCUGUAACUGACGCUGAGGCGCGAAAGCGUGGGGAGCAAACAGGAUUAGAUACCCUGGUAGUCCACGCCGUAAACGAUGAGUGCUAGGUGUUAGGGGGUUUCCGCCCCUUAGUGCUGCAGUUAACGCAUUAAGCACUCCGCCUGGGGAGUACGGCCGCAAGGCUGAAAC
rnacentral:rRNA from 1 species